CAGUCGCUAAAUCGGUCGCUAAUUUAAAAUAUUUACUGAAUUACUCUACCCUCACUAACCCUAACUCACCCUCACCAGUCACCAUUCUCACAUUUUCAAACAGUUACUGAGCUACACUUCUCCCCCUCAAACAGUCGUUGUCUUUUCUAAUCUUGAUGUCGUCGCCAUCGUCUUCUAGACUCGCAGUCGUCAUUGUUGUCUUUUCCAGCUUUGGCGCCAUCGCCGUUGUCUUCUAGAUUCAACAUCUCGUGAUGCUUUCUCUUUCUUCUACAACGACAAAGGUAGGGUUCUCAGCGAAGAGGAACACGCCAAAGAGAACGUCUACAUCAAGAAAAAGGAGAGAAAGAGGUUGGAGAAACAGAAGCAGCAAGUUGAGAAGGAAAAGGUAGAGAUGGACAAAAAACACUUCUGAUAAGGGUACAAAAUCUGUGGUAUUAGUAGGAUUGCUUGCUUCCUUAAAAUUAGUUAGGAGAACUUUAGCUGACCAUACCUUCUUACUUUUGGGUGCUGAAGAGGCUGGAACUGGUAUUGCAGAGUUGAUAGCACUUGAGAUAUCAAAACAGAUGCUAAAAUUGAAAGAUGAACCGAGGCUGAGAUGUUCUGCAUGAAACUCUACCACAUACAGAAGAUACAUGGUAUAGGGAAGAAGAAGAUGAAGAAUGCAAUUAGCAGAGUGUUCCAGUAGCCAUUGUAAGAUAAAAUAUUUGCAAGAAAAUUAUCUAAGAAGGGUCACAUUGUAACUUGGACUCAAGAGUUGUUGAUUCAUUAGAGAGAAUGAGGGAGGAAAGCGAAAAAGCAUACCAAUUUUUGACGUGAUGCCCUUGAGAGUUAUACCAGAGUGUAUAAGUUAAGAUAGAUACAGUUGCUUGGUCUAAGUAGAUAUUGAAUAGAGCAUAAUUAUGUUCAUGAAUUAUUUUUACCAUGUUUUAUUUAGUCUAAAUUGUGGAUCAUAAAUAUGAUGUAUUUAGGAAUUUUUAAUAUUAUUUUAAAUUCUAUAUUUCUAUGUAGACAUUGUGAAUGUUUUGGUAUUUAUUUGAAAAAUUAAUCUAUGCUUGAU